GGGACCUUCAAGGACCACCCACCAGCCACUGCUACAGGAGGACAAUAAACAGAAGAAGGAGAGCGGCACCAAAGAGGCGAAAAAACGAAAGAGCGCACCACCUCCUGACACCACAUCCACAAAGAAGUCCAAAUGUACCUCCAGUGCUGAGGGGGACGACAAGGAGGUUUUUCUCCUCCCUGUUCGUGGGCGUGAGCGUUACGAGAUGUUGAAGAAGAUCAAUGACGGUUUGGAGCUGCUUGACAAGGACAGCAAAAGCAAGUCAAAGGUCUCAGUGAAGCAUGAGGUUCCCGUGCCCUCCAGUGGAAAGAGGCUGCUCCAGAGAGGAGAGAGGAGUGACAGCGACUAAGAUGCCCAUCACCUCAAUUUCGAAAACAAAUGUCACCUUUUUGUCUAAGCCUUUAGGAUUAUUUCAGGUUUUAAAUGCCCAUUUAAAAACCAAAAUGCCAUCCUGCCUCAGUUAAAACGGUUCCUGAAACUGUACUGCCUGAUUAGU